CACGAUUGUAAAUUCUUCUGCACAUCUAGUCAGUUAUUUGUUUUGUUAAUGUGCAUGCUGUAAUGUGAAUACAGUUCAUAUCUAAUACAUUACCCAAGGAUAAGCAGGAACAUGAUGAGCAAACACAGAGAGUGCUGGAGAAACCCAGCAAGUCUGGCAGCAUCUGAGGUCGAGGGUCACAGGCAAUACAAAGGUGGAGAGACUGGACAUCUUGGUAGUAUCCUGAAGGAAAGCUUCUGGAAGCCUGAAUGUGGUUCCUCCUCUGUUACCUACCUACCAGCAGCAACACACCUCUUUGCGAGGACGGGGUAUGUGGAAUAAGAACAAGGUUCAUCGCUCCCCCUCUCACAUUGUCACUGGUUGCAAACAUAAUGACUACAGUGAUGGAGUGCAGAUUGGUACAGGUAUCAGGCAGAGACAGAGUUUGCGUCUCCAUAGUAACUACCAACCUGUCCAUAGACAUAGCCAGAUGCAGACAUGAUAGAGACAUAGUUGGGAAACUGAAUCAACGCUUGGAGAAGUCCACAAAUGUCAUAUGCACAAUA